rnacentral:rRNA from 1 species
AACGAACGCUGGCGGCGUGCCUAACACAUGCAAGUCGUGCGAGAAAGUUCCUUCGGGAGCGAGUAAAGCGGCGCACGGGUGAGUAACACGUAGGUAACCUGCCCCCCAGUCUGGAACAACUAGAGGAAACUCUAGCUAAUGCCGGAUGAGACCACGAUCCCUUCGGGGGUUGCGGCCAAAGAUGGCCUCUACUUGUAAGCUAUCGCUGAGGGAUGGGCCUGCGGCCAUUAGCUUGUGGUGAGGUAACGGCUCACCAAGGCCGUGAUGGCUAGCUGGUCUGAGAGGAUGACCAGCCACACUGGGACUGAGACACGGCCCAGACUCCUACGGAGGCAGCAGUGGGAAUAUUGCGCAAUGGGCGAAAGCCUGACGCAGCGACGCCGCGGUGGGUGAGUGAAGGCC